rnacentral:rRNA from 1 species
GUCUACGGCCACAGUACCCUGAACAUGCCCGAUCUUGUCUGAUCUUGGAAACUAAGCAGGGUCGGGCCUGGUUGGUUAGUAACUUGGAUGGGAGAAGUGGGAUUCCUGGAUC